rnacentral:lncRNA from 1 species
UCGAUUCCACCGGCCCCCGUCGGCUUUCCCCGCAGCAGCAGCUCCUCCGGGCUUCUCCGAGGGCUCAUUAAUUCCGCCGCUCUGGCUCUGCUUCUUGACGGCGUCGUUUCGCAACGGGGGUUUCUCUAGACGGCGGCUCCUGAGCUGGAGGUAGUACAGGGAGGAGCUAUCUGAGUCCGAUUCUCCGGAGGGGGAUUGAUCUUGAUUCUCUUGCUUCUGCUGCUGCUGCUGCUGGAGCUUUUGGAGGGCUAGGGUUUUGGCUCUGGUCCGAACUCCGAGAGAGGACUGCGGCGAAAUGGAGACCUCCAUCACGGCUACGUCGCCGAAAAUUUUCGAUUUCUUCAUGUAUUUCCCCAUAUCUCAGGCCCUUCCGGCCUCUCUGCGUUUUCUUCGAAGUUGGAAUUUGGAGAGAGAGGUGAUGACAACUGACGGAGGCGAUAUCUAUCAGAGAGAGAGAGAGAGAGAGAGAGAGAGAGAGAGAAGGGGGAGAGAGAGGGAAAGAGAGGGAAAAAGGUGGGGGGGGGGGGGGGAAGGUAGGGGAGGAGAGAGGGAGAGAGAAGAAAAGUUAGGGUUGGGGGUUUAGGGAACAGUGGUACUUUAUAUCUCUACAUUCUCGUCGUAUUUUCAUUAUUUGCCCCUUCUCUCUUAAAUUAUUUUCUUCCGUGGACCCUUCUCUCCCUCCCUUCUAUUUCCUUUUCUUUUUAAGUUUCAAAAAUAAAUUAAUUAAGGAUUUUUAUCACAAAUGAUUCUUAAAAUUGAUCUCACAUUCAAGAUGGUUUCUGAAAAGUCAAUCAAUGUAAUCCCUGAAAAUAGGUGUCGCAAAUUAAUGUGGUCAUUUUGUCACAAUUAUGUUAAAAAUUUCGUUAAGUGCUGAUGUGACACAUAAAUAAAUCCCACAAGAUUUAUGAGUUUUUGUGAAACCCCGUCCCAAAUUAUGUAUAUUUUCAUACUAACGAAUUUAUGAAAUUACCAUUUUUCCUCUUAUCCCCUCACCCUACCCGAAUCUCCCAUUUUGGGAUUUUCCCUAUCCCUUUUUAUUAUUUUUAUAACACUAUCUCCUCUUCUCCCUUCUAUCCCCCGAGUUCACUCUCUCUCUUAACUCACUUUUUCUCUCUCGCACCAAUCCCUUCUCCCACUCCCCGAUCUACACACACCAAAAUCGAGACAAACGAUGGCGACGACGGCACCACCAUGCCCACCGUGUUGGGGUUCCCUCUCUCUUCUCCUCUGUGAAGCACACAUAGAACCCAUGAAGCUUCUCCGGUGAGUUCCGUGGCUUUCGAGCCAAACUCCGACCAGCUCCAACCACCACACAGUGUGUUUUUAGGUAUGAAUCUCUUCCUCUCAUCCUAAACUUCAAUUGGGUAGUAAGAUCGCACCUUGGGGUUGAGUAACAGAGUCGAUCGGAGCUCGGGAAACCCAAAGCCUUGGGUAUGGGCUACCAGGCCCAAACCCUUUAACCAAAAACCCAGGGCCUUUGGCCCACUGAACCUAACUCAAAUCCAAUCCCUUGGGCCGGGUUACAAGCCCAAAACCUUUAAGCCCAAACUCCAGGCCCAGACUCUUUGAACCCAAACCUUUGGGCCAUGCAAACUCGGGCCUUCAGCCCAUUGAAAUAAGCCCCAAACCCAAUUGGAACCAAGCCAACCCAGACCUAGAUCCGACUUGACCCGGUCAGAUCCUAGAAACCAGACCUCGCGUGGGUGCCCGUCUGUGCCGAUGUGUGGAGCAUAUGCGCCUCCACCAGAGGCAUUGUGCUCCGCCAACGAUGCCGUCAACUUUUCCAGCCAACUUUUCGCGUGACCCAUGUUGGCGCGUACGGCGGCACGUGGCCGUCGGGGUUACCACCUUACAACGGUCCGUGGGUUUAUGUUUUUCGAUGUCCUGAAUCCGUUUAUGACGUAGUUUUCUGAAAUUCAAUCGCUAUGGGGCUAGCUGCCGUCCAUUGGCUUUUCCAUCCACCUCCUCCAGUAGCACACCAUGACCCAAUUUCUCCGAGGCACUGAAUUGGUUGGCUAUUUUCCUUUCUCAUUGAACUGAACUAGAUCUUCCUUCAAAUCAUUCUCCAUCGAUUCCUUUUGCCUCUCUACAUUGGUAUCGAAACCGCCAUACCCCUCCUUUGUCAACUUAUCAGCAAGUAUAAAAGCCAAGGUGAUCCCAGGCAGUAACAGCCACCCUUCCUUGAUCUGUUCAUCAAACAACCUUAGAAUCGAGCAUAGCUACCGCUUUCCCAUAGGGAUGUUCUGCAGAGAGAAUUCGAUAGCUGUCAUAAAGUUCUGUUCAUUUUCUGCUUAGAGCAGUUCUUAGUUUCAUACUCUAGUUUUUUGCCUGGAAGUGAAAGUACCUGCACCACCAACAUUCAUGAGUUAGUGAUUAAUGUAUAUGAAUUUCAAUAACGGUUCACUAAAUUCAUUUUACUAUCAAAGAUAACGCAGAUACUCACCCUUCGGUUACCAAUGAGUUCGAAGCUGGGGUCUUCUUCAUCAAACUUAUCCCGGAGCUGAAAGAACCAGUCGUUGUUCAUCAAGGACCAUCCAGUUCCAACAAACUCAGCUAGCACAUGGGUUGCACCUGAGGGAGUAAUGCCAAUUACAUCCUUUCCGGGGAGAUGUUUCGUUCUUGUUUCUGCUACCAUUGGCUCCCUGUCAUGCACAAUUUCAGGAUCCUGAUUAUGGAUCAUAAACAUCGAAGCUCCAUGAGUCAUUCAUAUUUGUAUCCUUCCAGGGAGUGAAAAAAGCAAGACUUUGAGAACGGACCGUCUGAACCAUGGGCAGUGCAUAUGGCAAUGGAAUUGGAGUAGUUGAAGUGAGAGCAAUGCGAAUGGUGACAGGCUUUGAACCCGGAACUGCAGACGUGGGAGUCAACUCAAACCAUUUCCCCACUUGCAGUUUAGAAGCUGGGUUGAGGAGGUGCUCUAAACUGAAUGUUGAAGUUCCCAACAGUAUAGGAGUCUUUGACAUUGACAGAAUCGAAGGGGAAUGCGACAUAAGGAAGCACACAGCCAAGGCGUUUAAAUUACAACCAACCAAUCUCCAGAGGCACUUGAAUACGGACUUUGCCACCCUGCAAGAUCGACAUGCUCGAACUACUUGGGAAUAUCACUUCCAGCGAAAAAAGGCUCACCAAAUAAACAAAUACGAUGUAUGAAAUAAACAAAUUCAAUGUAAGAAAUUAACAAAUUCAUUUAGCUACCAAAGAAUACAGAACCCCUUUCCUAAGAAAAUACCAAUGCAAUUCAUCUGAAUUAAUGCAGAUUUAAAGAGAAUAUAAUUUGAAUAAUUAUUGUGCAUAUAUAUAUAUAUAGACAUACACACACCAUGUAUGAAGAUCAUAUCCAUCACACAACAACAAAAUCAAAAGAAAAUGGUUGGAGCUUCUUGGCCUCAUUACCCACCUUGCGUCAGCGAAGACUGUACAAAUGCUGCAUGUUGUGGUCAAGGUUUUCUUAUUUCUCUUUCUCCACUACUUCUAUAUUUUUUUAUUUUUUUAUUUUAUAUAUCAAAUACGCACCUACAAAUUUGAAGGUCGAUAAUUUUUACUAUUUUCAGAAUUCAAAUAUGUUUGGCCGGAACUAGUUGGAAAGCCUGCGUCGGAGGCUGCAGCCAUAAUCGAGAAGAGCAACCCAUCAGUUACAGUUCUCAUCUUAAAGCCUGGAUUGAUUAGAUUGGACAAUUUUUGUUGCAACCGUGUGUAUGUUUUCAGUGAUCAAAAGGGCAGAGUCUCGGCGGUACCUACAGUCGGGUAGAUACUAGAGAAUGAUCCAGCAAUGCAGACUUCACCAAUAAUAUCUCAAUCAUCUCAAUGUAUUCAUAAUAAUUGUGGAAAAUUCUACUACAUCCACUUACGUUUACUUAUUUUCAAGCUUUCUUUCAAGAUGGGACUUAUUGAUGUCCUUUGUCUCAUGUUCUUCCUUAUUUUGAAUAAAAGGAUUAGAAUUCCAAAAGAUUAUGGAUAUGAUUUCUUAGCCUUCCUAACUGAGGCAGGGCCAUAAACAUUUGAAGGGCCAUCCAGGUGAGAGUGUUUCCCCUGGCAAGGGGGUGAGGGACUAGUCACACACUAUUCAUGGCAUGAAUACUAACCCUCUUAAUACAUCUUCAACCAGUGGUGGAUCCAGGAUUUCAAGAUCAGGGGGUCCCAACGUAAAAGUUUAAAAAAAGAAAUUAGAUUAAUUUUGUUCCAUAUCACUAUUUUCUAUUGAAUUUGGUUCAUUGAAUAAAUCAAGAUUAAUCUUAAUGGUAAUAAAACUAAUGAAUUCUCCUCAGCAAUAUAACGCAAUUAGUGACUCUACAAAGAUGUAAUUUGUUAGAGUAAACUGUCGAUUUGCCCCCUAAACUUUCACCUAGCUUUCGAUUUACCCCCUGAACUUUUCGAUUGGAAAAUUAAGGACUCAAACUAAUUUUUUUACCCAAUUUGCCCCCUACCGUUAGUUUUUCAAACAUUCCAUCCAUAUUUAUGUUCAGUGAGACCAUGUGCACAACAUGUGAGGGUAUUUAAGUCAUUUCACUCUUAAAAAUGAUUAAAAAACUGAAAAAAAAUUUAAGAAAAAAAAACUUUCCCUCUAUUUUUUUCCCUCUAAUUCCUAUUCUCAAUUUUAUUUUUCACUCAUUCUUAUGCAUGAGAAAUGACAUAUAAUGUUAUUGUCUUCAAAAGUAUCUAAGUUAGUCUUUUUCUUGAAGCAUGUACUGCCAUUUUUAUUUUCUCUAACAAAUUAAUAAUUUGACAAAUGCUCAUGGUGUUAUUGUCUUCAAAGCAGUGCAUUAAUAUAAGCAUGUUACAUGUUGUGCUUUAUUUUAGAGACAUUAAGACUUUACNACGCUAUCGACUACUUCAUAGCUCUGUUAUUAUUCGUCGAAUGAUGGUCAUACUCAUAUAAGUUCCCUUGGCAUGGGCUUAAAAGGUUGAUUUUGGAUGCUGCACCCGCUAUUUCCCAGCACGUCCUUCUAAUGGUCAUCAAGAUAACAACUGAGAUACUAUGGUAUCAGAACCCUGAAAUAUAUAGGCAGGCUCUGCUUAGGGAAUCACUUGCUCCCAUUCAUACCUUCCAGGAAGGGGUAAAUCGUUGAUGAUGUCAAAGUUGUACCUGCGACAACCCAACCACCAACUAUGAGGAUUUCAUGGUAUUUGGGGGUCCAUGUAGAUUGCUAAUCUAUUUCAGUUAACAUGAAUCACAAUCAGUUAAAGUUGGUUUUGCAAUUUAACUAGCAUACUUUCUCAAUGAAGAUUUUCUGUUGCUCCUCCUCAUGUCGGGCAAAGAACUCCUCCAUCUCAAGCGUGGUUGGGAUAUUUCUUUGCACAUUGUUUCUAACUCUCCGGUGAGUUGAAAUAGAACUCGUCCGCCUUGUGGUGGAACCGGGGGUUCCAAUUGUGUCCGACUCCCUUAUGAAGCUGCACGGCGUGGUUUCUCUAGUGCUCCUGUAUUAGACAUGGAAAAAAUAAUAUCAACCCUGCAAUCUUGUACACGAUUCAAGGGAAAUCUUAAUCCACAAACAUAUUAUUACCCGGGACCACCUUCAUCCCACAAAAAGGGACCAAAAUGUGUUUUUCUUUUGGUGCCCAUGUGAUAUUAAUAACAAAGAAAUAAGAUAAAAGUGUAAUAAAUAAAAACAAAUUACAUUUUGGCAGUGUAUGCAAGCAAUUAAAAGCACGAGAUCUGGAAGUUUUUGUCACCUAUACUAGUAACCCCAAAAAAGAGGUGUCCAACUUAAAUGUUAGAGAGGCAAAUAGGCCCCAUGAAAACGAUAUGUUAAUGCUCUAACACAAAUGAAGCCCAAGAGUGAUCGCUGUCGGUACUGCAAAAGAUAGUUUUAUUUUCCCUCAUUUCAUCGUCAUAUGGACACCCCCAGCUUUUGAGAUCAAUGCUAUUUUGCAAAUCAAAAAGAGAGAACAUAAACGCAUCCAAAGAAUGACAACAAUAGUUUGUCCCUCGUGUCGUCGCCUCAGUCCUAAUGUGUAACAGAUGCAGACUAAAUUGCCAAAACAUGAUUAUGAAACUAGCUCUACAAAGAUAAGGCACAAUUAGAUAUAGUCUAUAUGAUAUCUGCUCAGGUAUAUCUUCUUAUUCUUUCACUGUCUAGUUAAGCUAAAAGCAAUAAAUCGGCUUUACAAAGAAGCUGAUGAAAAUUUAGGAACCAUGAGAAGCAGAUGACUUUGACAGCGCGGCCCAAAAGCCAAAGCUAAAAACUUUAUAUUUGAAAGAAAAGCAGUAGUUGAAAAAAAAUUCAAAUAAAACCCAUUUCUUGCGAGGGAAGAGGUGGAGGGAAAUGGCCAUUUUUCAAGUCUGAAAAAGCUUAAAAUAUUUCCUCUCCUAUAUUAUUAAAAGCCAACAAUUAUUAAUCAAGAAAAUCAUAUUUCACAUCAACAUUAAGCAAAAAGCACUGACAAAACCAGUGCUAAUCAUCAAUAUUUAAAAUUAAAAAAAAUAAAUUAAAAAACAAUUUAGAUCACAAGAACAGAAAAAAGAAAACUAUCGCAUUUGAGCUAAGAAAUAAAGAAGCAAAAUUUACCUGUCUCUGGCUUCAAAAUCCAAGUUGUUUUCCCCAAACGAAGCCUCGACCCCCAAAUCGUUACCAUACUCUGCUCCACUUCCGAAAUUACCAAAACACCCUCCUCCCCUUCCUUCUCCUUCCUCUCAACGGGUCCAGCCCAGUCCAACUCCACCGACGAGCCCACGCUCAGCCUUGAUUUGGGCCUCGAUUCCACCGGCCCCCGUCGGCUUUCCCCGCAGCAGCCUCCUCCGGGCUUCUCCGAGGGCUCAUUAAUUCCGCCGCUCUGGCUCUGCUUCUUGACGGCGUCGUUUCGCAACGGGGGUUUCUCUAGACGGCGGCUCCUGAGCUGGAGGUAGUACAGGGAGGAGCUAUCUGAGUCCGAUUCUCCGGAGGGGGAUUGAUCUUGAUUCUCUUGCUUCUGCUGCUGCUGCUGCUGGAGCUUUUGGAGGGCUAGGGUUUUGGCUCUGGUCCGAACUCCGAGAGAGGACUGCGGCGAAAU